UACGUAGGGUGCAAGCGUUGUCCGGAAUUAUUGGGCGUAAAGAGCUCGUAGGCGGCUAGUCGCGUCGGCUGUGAAAACCUGGGGCUCAACCCCGGGCCUGCAGCCGAUACGGGCUAGCUAGAAUUCGGUAGGGGAGACUGGAAUUCCUGGUGUAGCGGUGAAAUGCGCAGAUAUCAGGAGGAACACCGGUGGCGAAGGCGAGUCUCUGGACAUUUCCUGACGCUGAGGCACGAAAGCCAGGGGAGCAAACGGG
rnacentral:rRNA from 1 species